ACCUGGGUGGCUCAGUCGGUUGGGCAUCUGACUGCGGCUCAGGUCAUGAUCUCGUGGUCUGUGGGUUCAAGCCCCUCGUCGGGCU
rnacentral:tRNA from 1 species